rnacentral:rRNA from 1 species
CUACGGGGGCAGCAGUAAGGAAUAUUGCGCAAUGGAGGCAACUCUGACGCAGCCAUGCCGCGUGCAGGAAGAAGGCCUUAUGGGUCGUAAACUGCUUUUAUUUAGGAAUAAACCCCCGAACGUGUUCGGGGCUGAAGGUACUAAACGAAUAAGCACCGGCUAACUCCGUGCCAGCAGCCGCGGUAAUACGGAGGGUGCAAGCGUUAUCCGGAUUUAUUGGGUUUAAAGGGUGCGCAGGCGGGCUAUUAAGUCAGUGGUGAAAUCCCGGGGCUCAACUCCGGAACUGCCAUUGAUACUGAUAGUCUUGAGUUUGGCUGAAGUGGGCGGAAUGUAGCAUGUAGCGGUGAAAUGCAUAGAUAUGCUACAGAACACCAAUCGCGAAGGCAGCUCACUAAGCCAAAACUGAUGCUCAUGCACGAAAGCGUGGGGAUCAAACAGGAUUAGAUACCCGGGUAGUC